ACACCUCGCUUUGGAGUGGUUGGCGUCGCCCGCCGGACGAACCUUCUGAACUUUUCUCAAGGUUGACCUCGGAUCAGGUAGGGAUACCCGCUGAACUUAAGCAUAUCAAA
rnacentral:rRNA from 1 species